rnacentral:rRNA from 1 species
AUGGCCGGCUUCCUCCAGCGCCACGUCCUCCCGCCCUUCCGCCGCCCGCCGCUCCCCUUCUUCCGCCACGGCGCCGGCGCCGCGUCCUCCGCCAACCAGCCCCAGGGCCGCCGGCCAUGGACGCCCAGCCGCAUCCUCGACCCCGGGGACGACGUCGUCCUUAACUGGAACCGCCUCUUCCUCGUCACCUGCAUGGUCGGCCUCUUCGUCGACCCCAUGUACUUCUACCUCCUCUACGCCAAGACGCAGGCGUGUGUCAAGAUGAACAUGGGCAUCGGCGUCGCCGUCACCGCCGUGCGCACCGUCGCCGACCUCUUCUACCUCGCGCACAUGAUCCUCAAGUUCCGCACCGCUUUCGUCGCGCCCAGCUCGCGCGUGUUCGGGCGCGGCGAGCUCGUCAGGGACCCCGACCAGAUCGCCAUCCGGUACCUCAAGAACGACUUCAUCAUCGAUCUCGCCGCCAUGCUCCCGAUUCCCCAGAUCAUUAUCUGGUUUGUGAUACCAGCUGUGAGCACCACCUCAGCAAACCACACCAACAACACGCUGUCGAUGAUCGUGCUGAUCCAGUACAUACCCAGAGUGUUCCUCAUCAUAUCCCUCAACUCCAAGAUCGUCAAGUCCAGUGGAGUGGUCACAAGAACUGCCUGGGCAGGGGCUGCCUACAACCUGCUUCUCUACACACUCGCCAGUCAUGUUCUCGGCGCCCUGUGGUACCUCUUGUCCAUUGAGAGGCAGUACACCUGCUGGGUGGACCAAUGCACAAGCGAUAAUGGCACUGACCCCAGGGUGCCCAUAUGUGACAUGAGCUAUCUGGACUGCAAAACGCUUGAGGAUCCUGUUCGGAUGAAGUGGCACGCGGCCAGCAACAUCACUAAGCAGUGCGGACUUCCCGGGGCGAAAUUUGAGUACGGGUUGUUCGAGGAUGCUCUGAAGCUCGAUAUCGUCGACGCGUCCUUCUUCGAGAAGUAUCUCUACUGCCUCUGGUGGGGUUUCCGGAACUUGAGUUCUUAUGGACAGAACUUGCAGAACAGCACCUACGCAGGAGAGACUAUAUUCUGCAUCCUCAUCUGCAUCAUGGGCCUUGUUUUCUUCUCACAUCUCAUUGGAAACAUGCAGACGUACUUGCAGUCGAUGACGGUGAGGCUGGAGGAGUGGCGGGUGAAGCGGCGCGACAUCGAGGAGUGGAUGCGUCACCGGCAGCUUCCCCUGGAGCUCCAGGAGCGCGUCCGGAGGUUCUUCCAGUACAAGUGGCUGGCCACCAGGGGCGUCGACGAGGAAUCCAUCCUCCAGUCGCUGCCCCUCGACCUCCGCCGCGAGAUCCAGCGCCACCUCUGCCUCGCCCUCGUCCGGCGGGUGCCUUUCUUCUCGCAGAUGGACGAGCAGCUGCUGGACGCCAUCUGCGAGCGGCUGGUGUCGUCGCUGAGCACCAAGGACGCGUACAUUGUGCGGGAGGGCGACCCCGUGAGCGAGAUGCUCUUCAUCAUCCGUGGCGAGCUGGAGAGCUCGACGACGGACGGCGGCCGGACCAACUUCUUCAGCUCCAUCACGCUCCGGCCGGGGGACUUCUGCGGCGAGGAGCUGCUGACGUGGGCGCUGAUGCCCAACCCGAGCCUCAACUUCCCGCAGUCCACGCGCACGGUGCGGUCGGUGACGGAGGUGGAGGCGUUCGCGCUCCGGGCCGAGGACCUCAAGUACGUGGCCAACCAGUUCAAGCGCCUCCACAGCAAGCGGCUGCAGCACGCGUUCCGGUACUACUCCCACCAGUGGCGGAGCUGGGGCGCCUGCUUCGUGCAGGGCGCCUGGAGGCGGUACAAGAAGAGGAAGCUCGCCAGGGAGCUCAUGAAGCAGGAGGGGCUCCUCUACGACCAGGGCGACGACGACGGGCAAGGCGGGGCUGGCGCCAUCGCCGGCGCCGACGCCAGCACGCCGCUGCUCGGCGAGUACAAGGGCGGCGCUGGCGCGGCGUCGUCGUCCGCGGAGGGCGCCGACGGCGGCGGCACGCACCUGGGCGCCACGUUCCUGGCAUCCAAGUUCGCCAAGAACACCAAGAAGGGCGCGCACCAGAAGAGCAUGUCGCAGCGGAUCGACGACGUGUCCACCAUGAAGUUCCCCAAGCUGGCCAAGCCCGACGAGCCGGAUUUCUCUUUGCACUCCGAGGACACGCUGUAA